ensembl:miRNA mdo-mir-7371c mdo-mir-7371c
CUUUGUACCAGAUGCUUUGUUGUAUAAAUACCAUCAAAUAGAGCAUUCUUGUAUAAAGGA